rnacentral:rRNA from 1 species
AUACGGAGGGUGCAAGCGUUAUUCGGAAUCACUGGGCGUAAAGGACGCGUAGGCGGGUUGGCAAGUCAGAUGUGAAAUCCUACAGCUUAACUGUAGAACUGCAUUUGAAACUGCUAACCUAGAGUAUGGGAGGGGGAGAUGGAAUUAGUGGUGUAGGGGUAAAAUCCGUAGAUAUCACUAGGAAUACCGAAAGCGAAGGCGAUCUCCUGGAACAUAACUGACGCUAAGGCGUGAAAACGUGGGGAGCAAACAGGAUUAGAAACCCUAGUAGUCC